rnacentral:rRNA from 1 species
CACGUAGGCGGACCGACAAGUCGGGGGUGAAAUCCCGGGGCUCAACCCCGGAACUGCCUCCGAAACUGCCGGUCUGGAGGUCGAGAGAGGCGAGUGGAAUUCCGAGUGUAGAGGUGAAAUUCGUAGAUAUUCGGAGGAACACCAGUGGCGAAGGCGGCUCGCUGGCUCGAACCUGACGCUGAGGUGCGAAAGCGUGGGGAGCAAACA